rnacentral:rRNA from 1 species
GUGGGGAAUUUUGGGCAAUGGGGGAAACCCUGACCCAGCAACGCCGUGUGCAGGAUGAAGGCCCUCGGGUCGUAAACUGCUGUCAGAGGGGAAGAACUGCCUUGCGGCCAAUACCCGCAAGGUUUGACGGUACCCUCAAAGGAAGCGCCGGCUAACUCCGUGCCAGCAGCCGCGGUAAUACGGAGGGCGCAAGCGUUGUUCGGAAUUACUGGGCGUAAAGCGCGUGUAGGCGGUGGAGAAAGUCGGGUGUGAAAUCCCUGGGCUCAACCCAGGAACUGCAUCCGAAACUUCUUCACUAGAGUCUCGGAGGGGAAGGCAGAAUUCCCAGUGUAGGGGUGAAAUCCGUAGAUAUUGGGAGGAAUACCUGUGGCGAAGGCGGCCUUCUGGACGAUGACUGACGCUGAGACGCGAAAGCGUGGGGAGCAAACAGG